AUUGAACGCUGGCGGCAGGCCUAACACAUGCAAGUCGAGCGGUAGAGAGAAGCUUGCUUCUCUUGAGAGCGGCGGACGGGUGAGUAAUGCCUAGGAAUCUGCCUGAUAGUGGGGGAUAACGUCCGGAAACGGACGCUAAUACCGCAUACGUCCUACGGGAGAAAGUGGGGGCUCUUCGGACCUCACGCUAUCAGAUGAGCCUAGGUCGGAUUAGCUAGUUGGUGGGGUAAAGGCCCACCAAGGCGACGAUCUGUAGCUGGUCUGAGAGGAUGACCAGCCACACUGGAACUGAGACACGGUCCAGACUCCUACGGGAGGCAGCAGUGGGGAAUUUUGGACAAUGGGCGCAAGCCUGAUCCAGCCAUGCCGCGUGUGUGAAGAAGGUCUUCGGAUUGUAAAGCACUUUAAGUUGGGAGGAAGGGUCGUUACCUAAUACGUGGCGAUUUUGACGUUACCGACAGAAUAAGCACCGGCUAACUCUGUGCCAGCCGCCGCGGUAAGAC
rnacentral:rRNA from 1 species